CGUUGCGGGGCGGGGCAGGCGCGGCGGCCGCGGGGGCCGGAGCGGCCCGAGCGCCGCGCCCGCUCCAUGGAGGCCGCGGCCGGGGCCCCGCCGGCGCUCGGCUGCUUCUCCUACAACCAGGACUGCACCUCCCUGGCAAUUGGAACCACAACUGGAUACAGACUUUUCUCCUUAAGUUCUGUGGAACAACUGGACCAGGUCCAUGAAAGCAAUGAAAUCCCAGAUGUUUACAUCGUGGAGCGCCUGUUCUCCAGCAGCCUUGUGGUUGUGGUCAGUCAUGCCAAGCCACAGCAAAUGAAUGUCUACCACUUCAAGAAAGGCACAGAGAUCUGCAACUACAGCUAUUCCAGUAACAUCCUGUCCAUCCGGCUGAACCGUCAGAGGCUGGUUGUUUGCCUGGAGGAGUCAAUUUACAUCCAUAACAUUAAGGACAUGAAGCUUUUGAAGACUAUCCUGGAUACACCUCCAAACACAACAGGUCUGUGCGCUCUCUCGAUCAACCACGCCAACUCCUACUUGGCUUAUCCCGGCAGCGCGACCAGCGGAGAGAUCGCGCUUUACGACGGAAAUACUUUGAAAACAGCCUGCACCAUCCCUGCCCACGACGGGCCUCUGGCCGCUCUCGCCUUCAACUCCACCGGCUCCAAGUUGGCAAGUGCUUCUGAAAAAGGCACAGUCAUUCGUGUAUUUUCCAUUCCUGGGGGGCAAAAGCUCUAUGAAUUCCGGCGGGGGAUGAAAAGGUACGUGAACAUCAGCUCCCUGGUGUUCAGCAUGGAUUCCCAGUUCCUCUGUGCUUCCAGCAACACGGAGACCGUGCACAUCUUCAAACUGGAGCAUCUCACGGACAGCCGGCCAGAGGAGCCUCCAACCUGGAGUGGUUACAUGGGGAAGAUGUUCCAGGCUGCCACCAACUACCUCCCUGCUCAGGUGUCGGGCAUGAUGAGCCAGGACAGAGCCUUUGCCACCGUCCGCCUGAACAUCUCCGGACAGAGGAACAUCUGUGCCCUCUCCACGAUUCAGAAGCUGCCUCGGCUGUUGGUGACGACAUCAGAUGGACAUCUCUAUAUCUACAACCUGGACCCACAGGAUGGAGGGGAGUGUGUCUUAAUCAAGAAUCACAGUCUGCUUGGCUCAGGAAAGUUGGAGGAGAACAAAGAAAACGACCUUCAGCCUCCAGUACCUCAAUCUUAUGCAGCAACUGUAGCCAGACCAAGUACAGUGCCUUCAACUUCGACCAUGCCAGGCUACUCGGAGGACGGCGGGGCCCUGCGAGGAGAGGUGAUCCCAGAGCACGAGUUUGCCACGGGACCGGUCUGUCUGGACGAUGAGAAUGAGUUCCCUCCUGUGAGCAUUCGGGACCCCUAAAACUGCAGCUCAGCCCUCGUGCUCAGAAGGAAGUAGUAACCUCUUGCAGAAGAGAUCCCAUUGCCCCCUCCUUGUCCCAGCUCGCUGUGAAGCCCAAAAUAACUGAAUUAGUUGUAGGGACAGUGCCAGGAAAGUGACACCCCCACUAAGUGGCAUCUGGGGAUGGGGCAAAGAUGAUCAAACCUGUUAAUUAGAGGUGGAUCUGAACAAACUUGCUAUGGCCAGAUGCAGACAUAGCCUUUGUGCCUUGAGCAGAUUUCUAGUAUUCCCAGGACUAGUUUUAACUGGAACAAUACCAUCAUUUAGAAAUAAAAACUUAAUACUCCCUGUUGCAUUUACAGUCAGUUGUAUUAGUUUAUGGAAUGCAGCUGGAAUGUACCUGAACCUCACCAGACUCUCCAUUUCCAAGCUAACUGAGAAGAAAACUCCUUUUCCAAGUACAAAGAUGAAAGGAGCAAGAGAGUUUGAAACCAUUUUAUGAUUUUUAUAUGGCACUUUCUCAGUUACCCUUGGAAGGAGAUACUGGAUUUUUAAAUCUAACUCAAGCCUGGCAGUGUCUUUCUGGCUUCUUUUUCCUAUUCCACACUCAUUUACUGUGUUAAGUAUCUAACCCCUAACUGGACAGAUGUUGGUCUGUGCUGUGAUCUGGUUGUAAUCAGUGGUGUCUUCAUAACAGUAAUGCAUUAAUACAGCAGAAUAUUGUAAUGGAUUUCAGGUUGCAGCCUUGACAGGCUUUGGAAUCCCUUACUUGGUUUUUAAAUAUCCUGCUGUUGGAGUUUUGCCUGAAAAGGAGGAAGUAAAAACUUUAUCCCAGGGUUUGUUCCAUGUGCUGAGCUGACCUCUGUAAGGCACGUUCCUGUUAACUGAUGCAAAGUGCUGCUUAGAUAAAAGGUGACUGGUUCAUGACUCCCUUUGAACAAACACCACCUAAAUCCAGCUCCAGUCACAUAACCUUCAGACCGUUUCUCUUCCAUUACCUCUAACUUCAUCUGCUGCAAACUGGGAGCAGGGGUUUCCUACUUGUCCCACACCAUUAGCCAUGAAGGAAAUUUAAAAUGUCUCCCCUCUGGUCAAGCUGUGUGGCCACGGAGAAGCUGGAAGGAGCAGCAGGGCCAGAGAGAAAUCCUUUGUUUCCUUCUGCUGAACCUGCUCUUGAACUUGUGGUUCGGGGACAAGCGAAUGCCCAGCAGGCAGGAACCACGCUGCUCCUGAACGAGCCUCCCUGCUGGGGCUGGGCCGUGCAAAAGCAGCCCCAGACCCCUGCUGUACCACAGCAGGUGCUUCAUUAAAUGAACUUUGAUCUCCCCAAAUCCUGCCAUCGACCCGGCAGAGCAAGUGACGUGUGUGAUGUGCGGGAGGAGGAGGUGUGGGAGGGAAAUACUCCCCGAUACGGUGGCUUAGCGAGUGGACCUUCCAGAUAAAGGCCCUGCAGUCGGGUUUUGGGUUUGCCCCUCGCAGGGUGAGCGCACAAGGAGAGCUGGGCAGGAUGUUUUGGUGCUCUGAAUUUCACUGAAGUUGGCUGUUUUCUCAGCACUGAGAUACUCGGUCUCGAUGACGCGUCCGAGGGGGGUUUCAGGCGUCGGUCACCGCUCCUGUGUGGAGAAGGAGGGACAGAAAACCUGACCUUAUCCAACAAAAAUGUUUUGACAGCGUUCUGCUUUGCGGAAACAUGGGAAGGGUUUUGUUUGUUUUCCAGUGUGCAACAAAAAGACAUUUAAAAAACCUCAAAACUUGUGACAAAAUGGAAUAUUCACCCGCAGCCCACGGUAUGGCUUUGAACUCAGACAUGGCUCUGGAGAAACAGCAGUGCUCAAACCCCACAGUUCCUCUCCAUUUUGAAACAUCUUGUCUUCCCUUGACCUCAAGCGAGACUUCAGAGGCUCAACUCUUAAAGGGUGAGGAAAAACAGCUUCAGCCUGACAUGAAGUCUGUCAGAAACUGCCUCUUCAUUAAGUGGAAGGAGGGACAGAUCAGAGAAGAGAUAAGAAGCCCAAGGAGGACUCGUAAAAAGUGGCCUCACAAGAGGGAACGUGGAUGUUGCUGCUGAUUUGUGCCAGGACUGCAGAAGGAUCCCGUGGCAAGAGAUAAUCCUGAGCCGUGGAGGUCAGCCGGGCAAGGCCAAGAGGUCGUGAUGAGGAGCAAACAUCCACGGAGGACAGGCUGUCGGGAGCGCUCGGAAAAAGCCAGGAAUUUCGAAGAACACAUCUGAGAGUCCCCAAGAUGAGAACAAAAAAAAAAAAAAAAAAAAAAGAAAAGAAAAGAAAAAAAUCUGAGGUGGGCCAUGCUUUCUCCUACAGUGUGUGUGAGUGAGUACCUGGCCCUGUCAUAGCCCCUGGUUUAAUUUGUGCUGUACAAAUUGGGUGGGGUGUCAAUGUACUGUAUGCACAUUGCUCUGUUUAACAAACCCUAUGUUAGAACCACAGUGUAAAUGCUAAUUUAAUCAGAUUUGUAUGUAACCAGAAUUUUAUAUACCCAUUUUUGUCCCUUUUCUAAUUUAUGCUGUUUUAUGUGUAUAAAUGUACUUAUAGGAAGAGAUAUUAAACUUAUGUCUUUGUACAGUAUAUACAUACUAUUUUAACCCAGGCAAAGUAUUUUUGCAGUGAUAUUAGAGAAGAUGCCAUUUGCUAUGUUUAAAGACAGAAUAAAGUCACAGUCUGUCCCUGGCA